UCGAGAAUCUUCGGCAAUGGGCGCAAGCCUGACCGAGCGACGCCGCGUGGGGGAUGAAGGCCCUUGGGUUGUAAACCCCUGUCGAGGGGGAACAAGGACGGUUGCAGAAACCGUCUUGAGUGAUCCCUGGAGGAAGCACGGGCUAAGUUCGUGCCAGCAGCCGCGGUAAGACGAACCGUGCGAACGUUAUUCGGAAUCACUGGGCUUAAAGCGCGUGUAGGCGGGACGGCACGUCCGUCGUUGAAAGCCCCCGGCUCAACCGGGGAAUCGGCGCGGAUACGACCGUCCUCGAGGGGCGUAGGGGGACAGGGAACUUCCGGUGGAGCGGUGAAAUGCGUUGAGAUCGGAAGGAACACCCGUGGCGAAAGCGCUGUCCUGGACGCCUGACUGACGCUGAGACGCGAAAGCUAGGGGAGCAAACGGGAUUAGAUACCCGCGUAGUCC
rnacentral:rRNA from 1 species